CCUACGGGAGGCAGCAGUAGGGAAUCUUUCACAAUGGGCGAAAGCCUGAUGGAGCCACGCCGCGUGCAGGAUGAAGGCCUUCGGGUUGUAAACUGCUUUUAUAAGCGAGAAAUAUGAUGGUAACUAAUGACUAAGGAUCGGACAACAACGGGCGAGCAGCCACGGUCAUACGUAGGAUCCGCGCAUUAUCCGGAGAAACUGGGUGUAAAGAGUUGCGUAGGUGGCAUAGUAAGUAGCUAGUGAAAUCUGGUGGCUCAACCAUUCAGACUAUUACCUAAACUGCUAAGCUCGAGACCGUUAGGGGUAACUGGAAUUCCAAGUGUAGGAGUGAAAUGCGUAGAUAUUAGAAGGAACACCGAUAGCGUAGGCAGGUUACUGGGACAGUUCUGACACUAAGGCACGAAAGCGUAGGGAGCAAACGGGAUUAGAUACCCGGGUAGUC
rnacentral:rRNA from 1 species